UAAUAAAGACAUCACAACAUUAGUGGCGAAUCGUGUCAGGCCAGAAAUGGAGCAGCACUAAGUUUUAACUUUUGUGUGUGGUGUCUAUUUUUAUUUA
rnacentral:SRP_RNA from 2 species